CGCUGGCGGCACGCCUAAUACAUGCAAGUCGAACGAAGUAGCAAUACUUAGUGGCAGACGGGUGAGUAACAUGUGGGUAUCUUCCCUUUGGCCUGGAAUAACAUGAGGAAACUUAUGCUAAUACCGGAUAAGUCUUUACGGAGAAAGCUUUAUGCACCAUUGGAUGAGCCUGCACUUGAUUAGUUUGUUGGUGGGGUAAUGGCCUACCAAGACAAUGAUCAAUAGCUGAUUUGAGAGGAUGAUCAGCCACAUUGGGACUGAGACACGGCCCAAACUCCUACGGGAGGCAGCAGUAGGGAAUCUUGCACAAUGGAGGAAACUCUGAUGCAGCGAUGCCGCGUGAGUGAAGAAGGCCCUUGGGUUGUAAAGCUCUUUCGUCGGGGAAGAAAAUGACUGUACCCGAAUAAGAAGGUCCGGCUAACUUCGUGCCAGCAGCCGCGGUAAUACGAAGGGACCUAGCGUAGUUCGGAAUUACUGGGCUUAAAGAGUUCGUAGGUGGUUAAAAAAGUUGGUGGUGAAAUCCCAGAGCUUAACUCUGGAACUGCCAUCAAAACUUUUUAGCUAGAGUAUGAUAGAGGAAAGCAGAAUUUCUAGUGUAGAGGUGAAAUUCGUAGAUAUUAGAAAGAAUACCAAUUGCGAAGGCAGCUUUCUGGAUCAUUACUGACACUGAGGAACGAAAGCAUGGGUAGCGAAGAGGAUUAGAUACCCUCGUAGUCCAUGCCGUAAACGAUGUGUGUUAGACGUUGGAAAUUUAUUUUCAGUGUCGCAGUGAAAGCAAUAAACACACCGCCUGGGGAGUACGACCGCA
rnacentral:rRNA from 1 species